UUUUGUUGCAUGUCGUACCCUUACCAACAGACCAAAGUAAAUUCUUAAUACAUGCCUCACCCACUCAUACACAGACAAGCCUCCAUCUUCAGGACAGACCACCUCUGGGCCAGUCAUUGGCCCCAGUCACACAUACACUGGGUCUUUGACCUUUGGAGAACACAACCCAGUGCCUUUACCACUGGACUUGCAGACUUUGGUAAAUGCAUGCUGGUUUACACAUGUUUUAUUCCAUAGCUGUCCUUUAGUAACUAACUUUAUUUUUAAUAUACUUCUUUAUUCUUGUUGGAUGUUGUUUUCGUUACAUAUCACACCCUGACCAACACAUCACAGCAAAUUCCAAGUGUGUGUAAAUGUAUAUGGUGAAUAAAGUUGAUCCUUGAUACAUUUCAGUGAUUGUGAUCAAGGAAUCAAUAUUGGCUAAGAAAUUAUCCACUAUUCUUCUUGAAAAUAGUGGCUAUGGGCCCGUUUUCAUAUUGGUCUGAGAAAAAACAAGAUCUUUAAGAUCAUAAACACAAGAAAUUCCCCCCACCCAGCUCCCCAUUACCUCUUUUCUUCUCCUCGUCUGCCCAACACCUCCCUCUGGUGCCUCUUCUCCUUCCAUGGUCUGCUCUGCUCUCCCAUCAGAUCUCUUCUUCUUUACCCUUUACCUUUUCCAUCUACCACCCCCCAACCCACUUGGCUUCACCUAUCACAUUCUAGUUUCCCCACCAUCCCCUCUCCCACCUUUGUAUUCUGCAUUCCUCCCCCAUCCUUAUCAGUCCUGAUGAAAGGUCUCCACCCGAAGCAACAACUGUUUAUCUCUCUCCAUAGAUGCUGCCUGACCUGCUGAGUUCCUCCAGCAUUUUGUGAGUGUUACUCUUUGUUUAAGAUCCCAUCUGACAGAUCGUACGAUGAUCCCUCAGCGUCAAGCUGUAUGGAGCUAACCUCAAUAUUUGGAGCGGGAUUCGAACCAGAAACUUGCUGAUUAAAAGGCAAUAGAGCAACCUAUUCAAGGAUCUACUUUACUAGCCAUAUACAUUUACAUGUAUUAGGAAUUUGCUGUGGAGUGUUGGCAUGGCAUUCAACAAUUAUAAAAAAUAAUAUAAAGUUAGUGAUUAAGGGACAGAUGUGGAACAAAAUGUACAUAUAUAUCAGUUUGUAUUCACAACGUAAACAGCAUUGUGAAAAGUGGUUUAAAGUGUUUACAGUACAGAGUAGUGAUGGGGUAAUAGGUCGAAGAUGGGAGAGGGCUAACUAGAAUGGUUGGUCAGAUUGACAGAACCGGGGGAAGACUCUUUUAAGAUAUAGUGAAGUUUUUUGUUUUAACAGCUCUCCAGAAGGGAGCUUUUGGAAUAUGAAGUUUACUGGGUGGGCAAUGUCUGCAAUGAUUUUUCCUUUGGCUAGACUCCUUCCCCUCCCCCACCUCCUUAUUCUGGCAGCUUUCCCCUUCCUUCUCAGUCCUGAAGAAGGGUCCCAGCCUGAAGCGUCUGAUGUAUAUUUCCCCUCCAUAGGUGCUGCCUGACCUGCUGAAUUCCUCCUGCAUUUUGUCUGUGUUGGUCUGGAUUUCCAGCAUCAGCAGACUUUCUGGUGUUUAUGAUUUUUCCUGCAGCUCUGUCCUGUGCCGCCAGUGACCGUUUCUAAAGGCCCGACCGCCGCAGCUAACACUCAGCACACAGGAGCUCAGCAGAACCUGACCUCACAAAACACAACACCUCAGAUUGAGCAGGGCCAGGACACGUUACCAUGUGAAACUUACUAUACAAAGGAUGAUCACGCAGUUCAUUAGUUUUGUAGAUUUUCUACCAUGUUAUCCCACAAGCAGAAUUCACUGCUAUUCCUACAAAACCGUUCCAACGCUUCCCUUGGCAGGAGGGGCAACCUUUUUUGGGCCACAGUUGUCUAGCAGAGUCCAACUACAUAAAGGUAUUAAUUCACCUCUUCAGCACCCUUCCCCCACCCAGAAUCCACCCUCUGGUCGUCAGUCUCCCGCCAUUCGCUGAAGCCGCUGGAAAAAACAACAUGACUGGUCAGCGGCACACAGAGUUUGUAAAGUUCCCACAACACUGUUCCCUUCUGUACGGUUUUUUUUAAUUAUUUACCCAAAGGCUGCGCACAGCUGUCUUGCAGCUCUGUUUUGCAACGCGUUCCUCCAGCAGCGGAGACCCCCAGAUGCGGAGCCGCUGGGGAGCUGGAACUGUUUACGCUGGGCAGCGGCUGACCUCUCCCUGCGCUGCCAAGGCGCUCACCGGGGCCUGCCCAUCGCCUUAAUGACUUGCACAGCUGCGAAAGGGACUCGGGUUUCAGGCUCCAUGACCAACGGCAGCAGGUGGGCUGGACUGCAAGUAGCCCAGAGAGGGAAAGAUCCAAGAGUCUUCUUUCCAAGACACCGGGGAAUUUAAUUCCAUGCCUAACGGACAGUGGCCCUCCUUUUGACUGAACGGUGUGUCUACCCAGAACAGAUUAUACUGCUACUUUCAGGCCACAUUUCUGCAUUCAGAAAGUUCACAGUAAACUUAUUAUCAAGGUCUAUUCUGUACACCUGUCAACAUACAACACCCUCAGAUUCAUUUUCUUGCGGACAUUUACAGUAGAAUAAAGAAAUACAAUCGAAUCAAAGACUGACAGGCAACUGAUGUGCAAAAGGAGUCAAAUCGUGCAAAUACAAAUAAAUAAAACUGCGAACAGAGUCACUGAAAGCGAGAUCAGAGGUUGUGUUCAGUGAUCAGUUCAUGUUGAGGACAAGGCUGGACAUUAAGAAUUUCAGGUACUGCAGGUCUACCCCACCAGCGAGGAGGUCAAUGGCGGAAGGGCUGGACUUGCUGCAGGCCUUGUUACUGCCCGCCGCAGGAAGGCAUCGGAAUCAGUGCACGAAGUGCUGUCAAACAGUACAGUAGGAAUCCGAACAGGAGGAAUAAGAGGAAUAAUUCCUUGGCAUGCACAACACCGAGGAUCUCACAUGGUCUGUACAUACCGCCCGUGUGGUGAAAAAGACACAACAGCGCCUCUUUCACCUCUGACAGUUGAAGAAAUUUGGCGUGGGCCCUCAAAUCCUAAGUUUCUACAGGUAUACAAUUGAGAGCAUUGUGACUGGAUGCAUCACUGCCUGGUAUGAGAACUGUACUUCCUUCAAUCGCAGAACUCUGCAGAGAGUGGUGCGGACAGCCCAGAACAUCUGUAGAUGUGAACUUCCCACUAUUCAGGACAUUUACAAAGACUGGUGUGUAAAAAGGGCCCAAAGGAUCACUGGGGACCCGAGUCACCCUAGCCACAAACUGUUCCAGCUGCUACCAUCCGGGAAACGGUACAGCAGCAUAAAAGCCAGGACCAACAGGCUUCGGGACAGCUUCUUCCACCAGAUCAUCAGACUGAUUAACUCAUGCUGAUACAAUUGUAUUUCUAUGCUGUAUUGACUGUCCUGUUGUACAUACCAUUGAUUACAAAUUACUAUAAAUUGUACAUUACACAUUUAGACAGAGACGUAACAUAAAGAUUUUUACUCCUUAUGUCUAUGAAGGAUGAGAGUAACAGUCAAUUCAAUUCAAUGAUUGGAAUGGAAUAGAAUAAAAUAAAAUAUAAUAAAUAAAUCAACCAAUCAAUCAAGGGUAUAUCCUUCACCACCACUGGUGGCAUCUACAGGAAGCACUGCCUUAAGAAGGUAACAUCCAUCAAAGAACCCCAGCAUCCGGACAUCAUCUUGCUUUGCAUGAGGCACAGAAGCCUAAAGACCCUGAUCACCAGGUUCAAAGACAGCCAAGAGGCUUAGAUUUGAUCCAAUUUUCUGGUCUACAGGGAGAGUAAGCUCAUAAUCGCUGUUGCAGCCUUAAGGACAGAAUAGUUCAUUUAGACAUUCAGAAAACUUAGCUGAUGCAUACUCAGAAAGCCAACCCUUGAUAUGUUAUACUCAGACUGUGGUAUUCCUGGAAGUGUAGAAGCAGAUGCUCCACAACAAGACCAUUAAUACAAACUUUGGGCUUCUCAAAAUGGCAUUUUAAUGAUGAGAAUUAGCUUUGUCACAUCUACAUCGAAAUAUACAGUAACACGUGGAGCUUGCAACAAUCCAAGGAUGUGCUGAGAACAGACUGCUCUGCUUCCAUUGCCAACAUAGCAAGCCCACAACUUAUGAACUCUAACCUAUAAAUCCUUACAGUGUAGGCGGAAAGCCGAGCACCCGAUGGAAACAUGCAGUCACGGGCAUAACGUACAAACUGAUUACAGACAGUGGCGGGAAUCAAAACCUAAACGGUGAUUACUGGCAAUAUAAGGCAAUUGCACUAAACAUGCUAUGGACAGACCAUUGUUUUCAAAUUUGCAAACAAGGGGCGAUAGCAAAUUAGUUAAAUUUACAGGUAAACAAGUACGCAAGCCCCCUAUGGAAGGGUAUAAUCCAACAACCAAAAAAAAGAAUUAGAAUGAACAAUGUCCAUUAAUUAAUGGGCAGCGGAUUUUCUGCUGGACCUUGAUGGCUCCUGAACCCGGUGGGUACUUCGUUCCCAAAGGCUGCAGUGAGAAGAGAGCACGGCGUGACUAAUGAUGGAUGCUGCUUUCCCGCAGCAGAGCUCCAUGUGGAUAUGCUCAGUGGUGAGGAGGGCUUUUGCUAUGACAGGAGAGGUAAAGAGGGCAGUGGGCCAAACACAGAUUGAUGGGACUACUUCACUGGGAAACACAGACCAGCACGCCGUACAACCCUGUGACACAGAGCAACGCAAAGGUUCUGAACAACAACUUCCUCUCGCAGUGACAGAGGAAAUGUCUGCCUUUGCACACUGACCUUUCAAGAGCACAAGAGGUAGAAAACAAUCUGAGCCAUUCCAACACUUCAGUGCCCGUCCUCCUCUAUCGCUGUGAUGUGGCCACUCUCAGGUUGGAGAAGCAACACCUCAAAUUUCUCCUGGGUAGCCUCCAACCAGGUGGUAUGAACAGCAAAUUCUCUUACCUCUGGAAAUUCUACCCCUUUCUUUCAUUCUCACCCCAGCUCCUCUAUUGCCUCUUCUCUUCUUACUUGCCUAUCACCUCCACUUGUGCCCCUCAUCCACCCAUUCUCCCAUAGUCCUCUCUCCUCUCCCAUCAGACUCCUUCCUCUUCACCCAUGUUCCUUUUCCACAUAACACCUCCCAGCUUCUCACCAUCCACCCUCCCCCAUCUAGGGGACCCAUGGAAGUGUAGCAGUUAGGGUAACCCUAUUAUCGCUCGGGGUGUUCCAGAGCUCAGAGUUCAAUUCCAGCGCUGUUCUGUAAAGAAUCUGCACUUCCUCCCUGUGGGAUGCAUGGGUUUUCUCAGGGUGUUCUGGUUUCCUCCACAGUCCAAAGGUUUAAUUGGUCAUUGUACCUUGUUCUGUGAUUUAGGAUAGGGUUUGUCAGAGGUUUCGCAGAAGGGUCUACUACAUACUGUGUCACUAAAUAAAUAAAUAAAUCCACCAGUCCUGCUGAAGGGUUGCAGCCCAAAAUGUUGACUGUACUCUUUUCCAUAGAUGCUGCCUGUCCUGCUGAGCUCCUCCAGCAUCUUGUGUGUGUUGUUAGGAUCUCCAGCAUCAGCAGAUUUUCUCUUGUUUGGAAGUAAAUAAAUCCACCUUGUCUCACCUAGCAUCUGUCAGCUUGUAAUCCUUCCAUCCCCACCCUUUGCAGACCUGAUGAAGGUUGUGAGCCCACUGAUGAAGGUUGUGAGCCCAAAAUGUCUAUAUGUUUACUUCUUUCCAUAGAUGCUGUCUGACCUGCUGAGUUCCUCCAGCAUUUUGUAUGCAUUACUCUGGAUUUCCAGCGUCUGCAAAAUCUCUUGUGUUUACUGAAAACAAUACUGUUGCUUUCACUAGGAUCUUUAAUGAAUCUCACACAGCCUGCUACACUUAACAAGCAACAGAUUGUCUGCGACAGUAUUUGACAUAUGACAGGCCCCCAGGACCCCACACGGCAAGUGGAAUGUUUUAAGCAGCCUACCCACUAUUGAGAGUCUGUCUCAGCAGUCAAUACCCUUUCCUGUUUCACAAACCAUGUAUAAAUCUGAUCUCAUCAGGGAAUUAUGCCUGAAUAAUGGACAACUACCA